ACUGUUUCAAUCUCUAAUUACAACCGUUUAUCUUUAUUAAUAUGUGUUCCACCUGUGCAAUCUUAAUCUACAAGUUCCUUCUGCUGAUGUGUAUUUCACUAGCUCAAAUAGAUGUACACUAUUUGACUUCACUUUCCUAAAUCAACUCUAUCAUUAUUCCCCAAAUUGAUUUCGCGAUAUCUCAACCUUAAUUCGAUCUCAGUGCAAUCCUACCCCCAUUAAAUAGAACUUGGCCUCAAGGUCAAGUAUGAGCAGCAAAGUCGAGAAACUGGCCUCGUGUAAAGCCCUAAUCUUCCCAGGUAGCCUCUUCGAGACUAAGAUUAGUCCAGUGAACCAACACCUUCACUUGGGCCAUGUUAUUUAUUUUAACCAUCUAUCGUUGUAAAAUGGUGAGGGGUUUCACCAAGACUCAACCUUCAACGUCAUAAGUAGGCAGUCCUUGAUGAGGGGUAAUAGAAGAACCAAUACGCUUCUUAAGCUGGGAUAUGUGGAAUAGUGGAUGGAUCUGUGAAUUUGGUGGAAACUCUAACUGUUGUACCUGUAGGGUCUGAUGCUCACUAGUAUGGACCCCAGUUUGAGAGAGAUUGGCAGGGUUGUGGGCUCAACAAAGACAUUUGCAUACUCCUCCAAGGUCUGUGCAAUACUUUCAGAUAAGUGAUUUGUAAAGGCGGGAAGUUGUGUUGAAUUGGUAUCCGAAUCUACAAUGAGGUAUGUAAAGCAUACUCUAACAAUGUUCUUUGGCAUGAAAACACCAAUGUUCCAUCAAGUAAGAUUCCGAGGUUGUCCAAAAACAUGUAUUGUUCUACAUUACCAACGAAGUUGUUUCCAUUCUAUAAAGUGUCAAAAAGUUUCAUUGAUAUACCAAAAGGCUCCUAUUUCAUUGUUGUGAUAUUGAUGAUUCUGAAACACAUUGUUGAUGCACCAAUGAGUCUUUAUUACAUCGUUAUUGUAUAGAAGGUCUAUUACUUGGUUCCUAUUGAUGUAUCAUUGUUCCAAAGGUACUAUAUUGUCAUGAACACUAAUGUAAUAAUAUCAAAAGCUUUUGAACUAA